GGCCACUUCCCGUGGCAUAUGGAGGUUCCCAGGCUAGGGGUCUGAUCGAGGCUAUAGCCGCUGGCCUAUGCCAGAGCCACAGCAAUUCGGGAUCUGAGCCACGUCUGCAACCUACACCACAGCUCACGGCAACGCCGGAUCCUUAACCCACUGAGCAAGGCCAGGGAUCAAACCCGCAACCUCACGGUUCCUAGUUGGAUUCGUUAACCACUGAGCCACGACGGGAACUCCAGGAAUACAUACAUUCUUGUUUGUAUUUUUGCUGAUUUCUUUUGUUUUCGCCCAGCCAAGGAUCACACUGGUGCCACAGCAGUGAAGGAGCUACUGUAGUGACCAUACCAGAUUCUUAAGCCACUGCACUACCAGAGACCUCCUGUUUUCACUGAUUUAAUAUUUUUCUCUCCACCUAAACAGACACACACACCCUUGAUUUUUAACUUUGCCAAAUUCACUGAUUUCCAUGGUAUAAAUGCUCCCACUCUAGUGGAUUUGCAAACUACCAAAUGCAAAGCUGAGAAGAGAGACAUGGGGCUGGCUCUCAGGGCCAGGCAUGCCAGCUCCUGCAUACAAAUGGCUGGCCUGCAGUUUUCAGAGCUAAAGUAUAUGAGGUAGCAAAGAAGCUCAGACAAGCCAGAGGUGAACAGAGAUAUGGAAUUCAUUUGUGGCUUUGAAUUGAGGCAGGAAAAGAGAUAAGCACCAACAGCAAAAUCAUCAGAAACAAAGAAAGGACAAUUAAGGAAAAAGUGGAACCUCAAAGGCCAGCACAGGGGAAAAAAAGUUAAAUUCCUAUCACUAGCCUCCUUCCAACUUAGUCUCAUUUUUGAGGAACACCUGUGUUGAACAAGCUUUCCUUCCCUGGGUCUGGGAGUGUUGGUGUCCAAGAAGACCAACAGUAAACAAUGUUGCCCACUUCUCAAAUUCAGAAUGCUUGAAGAUCCAGAAGAAAUUUACUAUAGCAAUGGAAAUCAUCCCAGCAGCCAUUCUGCUUCGAACCUACUGCCAUGUAAAGGACUAGACCGCAGAGGCAGAGCAGAGGUGAAAACUUACUAACAUACAUGUGCGCUAAAAGAAAUUCAUCACCAACUCGAAACAGCCAGAGAUAUUCUAGGCUGUCAAGGCCUGGGCUCCGUCCUCUUAUUCCAAAGCCACAGAGCAUGGAGACAUUUGUUCUUGGGACGCACUUCCACAGCAGGAGCCACCCACUCAUUUUAGGUAAUGUUGUACAGGGGGGGAAGAGAGGAAAGAGAUGUUGAGCUGUCCUGUCCAGCACAGGACACCAUGAGAGCUAGGGAGCAGUGGAGGGAGGAGAGAAGAAUGAGCUCGAUGGAUAAGAAAAUGGCAAAGAGGAAAAUCAGGAGGGAGCAGCCAAGCACCAGAUGCGAGAAGCCAACACUAAGCUAACCUAAAUACAGGCAAACACCAUAGAAGACACUAGAGACCCAAAGCACCAAAACCCAGUAGGAGAGAAAGAAAAUCAGUGUAGCCAUCAGUAAAUACUGAGCUGCAAUCACCAAGCCAGAGGCUGUGCUGUGUAAACAAGUCAAUAGUGCCCAGCACCUGAGCCCCAGGUACAUACUCAUGAGAGAGAAAGAGCUGUAAACAGGUAAUUACAAGAUGGAAUGAUGGCUUUGAUGGGAAGGGAAACUCUAAUGAGACCCUCCUUUAAGAACUUCCAUAUGCCAUGGGUGUGACCUAAAAAAAAAAAAAAAAAAGGCAAAAAAGAAAAGUCUUCCUUUAAAAAAAAAAAAAAAGUCAUUAUCAAGACCAAAACUUGAAGAAUGAGUGAAUGGGAGCUACCCAGGAGAAGGUAAGAGAAGAACAUUAUAAGCAGGCAGACCGUGGUUUGUUCUUGCUGUACAGGUGCAGCAAUCAAUAAUGACUAAGAAACACCAUCAAAAAAGUGUCUCAAUUUUGGAUGAUAAGUUAUGUGGUCUCUCCAUCCUCUGGCAGGACUUGCAAGAAAAAAAAAGGAACCUGAAGAGACAGAGACUCUGGCCACUCCUCCCACUUCCCACCCACCUGCUUUCUGCUGCCAAGGAGUCUAUGCCAGGUCCCCAGGGCCUGGCGAUGGUCCAAGUGCAUCCUGAAAAGGUGGACUGGCCCAUGAUGAGCAGCAAACUGAGUUGAGGGCAGGUCCAGCCAGUACCGGGAACAAAGGGGAAAAAGAAAACUGAAGGGAGAGGCAAGUGUCUCUGAAAGUCUGAACUUAGUAGAGCAGUAGGAAUCCCUGAUUCUCCCAGAAAGCCAUUUAAAAGAGCCUCCAGGCAAAACCAGACAGAAAACUGGACUACUAUCAACCAAUUAGUACAGCGUUUUGACCCUCUGUCUAAAUUAUUUGGAGCAAACUUACAGGGCAAUUUAAUUUUAGAAAAUCGACCAAGAGAAUCAAACUCAGACUCUCUCACCCAACAAACUGAACGCAGGUGGAGAAGCCAGAGGGGAACCGAAGUUCCAAAACGUUCUGUUGCUAUCACAACAGAAGAGACUGUAGCCUCUUUAUUACUGGGGCAGGCAAUUACAUGAAGGCUCUGGGAAACCUAAGCCCUUUUGUAGUUGGAGUUGAUGGAACAAUGAUGAAAGAAAGACAAUUCUUUUAUCACCAGAAAAUAAGUGUUAGUGUUCAAACAAUAUUUUCUCAUCUCUAUACCUGGGUGAUACUUUUCAGCAACUGCCAUAGAAUUAGGAAAAGAAGUUGUGACAUUCUGUUCAAGGUGACAGAGAUCUGGACUUGCCUCCAGGCUUCAGGUAGGUAGAGCUGACCUGAACAAGACUGAGAUAGGAAAUUUGUACCUAGGAUUGUCCUGGAUCACUGGUCCAGUCUAUCCCUCAGCAUGGCAAGAAUUUUGUCUAGCACCUCUGUUUGCCUUCUUCCUGAACCCUCUGUGGCCUCUCCUCUCAUAGGUGCCUGAUGCCUACCUGUUCUUUUAAGUUGGUUCUGGGAGUUCCCAAGAACUCCUUGAUCAAUGUUACCUUGCACCAAUGGCUGAUCCCACCACUUGCCAUCAUUCUGACCUGUCCUGUCUUCAUGCACACCCACGUUCCCCUAAGGGCCCAGGAGAGGUUUGGGGAAUUGAGUGUCCUUUGCAGAGAAAUCUUAAUUAGCCAAAAUGUUCAUAAAGGGAGAACUGCUCACUCCAGUUAAUUCGAUUCUCUAAUAAACAGAGAAUUCGAGACCAAGGCCAGAAUUGCAGUGAGCUGUGGUUUAAUGGUGAGAUGUAAGGGAGAUCUUCAUUGCCUAUUGUUUAUGCCCAAAGUCCAUGGACUCUUGGAACCUUAAAAGCUAAAAAAUAGUUCAGGAAUCUAGGUAGCCCUUUCAUUUUACAGACAAAGAAACAGAGGCCUAGGGAGAUUGUUACCCAAAUUCAUACAAUUAUAACAAAAGGAUAUUUGUUAUAAGAGGAAUGCCGUAUGUGAUAGCUAGAGCUGGGCCCCACCUUGAGCUUCUUCUGACCCACCAUCAGGGUUUCUUCUUGCCUUCAAUGCACAUUUAUUUGCCAAAGGUCUUACAUGUGAUCUACAGUGUACAGUCAAGAAGAGCGGGACAGAGGUUGGUGCUCAGAUAGAGAGGUGACCUAAGGCUACUGGGUCACUCAUUCCAGCAUCUCUUAGAAAUUUUUCUAUUCAGUUAUAAAGGUUUUAUCUUCUGCAGAGCUGAAGACUUGGUGAGAAAAAAAAUAUUGGCCCUGGCUAUUUAUUCUUGGUUGGGCCAAGAAAAGGAUAAAAUUGUUCUUAUCUGUAGCAAGAAGGUAUGGCCAAUAAAAUCAGCAAGUAGAUGGACUUCAAAAAACAGCAAACAUUCACAAUUUGCUAAUACACUGCACCAACUAGGAUCAUUAUUACAAAUUAAAGGAAGUGGGAAAUUAUGAAUAGAGCACUGAAAACAAUAGGGUUUUAUUUUUUAGAUUUUGCUAAGAUUUCAUACCUAUAACUCUCCUGAGUGGGAACCUCAUUUUUCUGUUUAAAAAGUACCCUGUGGACAUGUCAUCUCAAGUAUCUUUAUGGCCAAUAACAAGUGUUGGUACAAAACCUACAAAACCAUGACCAACCCAGAGGACUCCUCAGAGAGAAGUCACAGUUAAAGAGACAUAGUCCUAUAAAUGAAAACGCAUUUUCAAAAUAACUUUGCUUGUGUUUAUGACUAUUAUGAAUGGGGAUACAGUUCAUGAAGUUCCUUUCCUUCUCCAUCCACUUUCUUCACACCUUCAAAGAGUAACUCCCUCAAAUGUCCCAAAAAACAAAACAAAACAAAACAAAAAAAACCCUCUUCCUCCAGCUUUACUCCAAGCCUCUUAUUUCCUUCUUCACUGUAUCUUCCAUCCAACCAUGUCAUAAAAGUCUAUAAAAAAUCAACCCAGCAGGGGCAGAACACUGUUUCUCAAAAGGCAGAGAAGAAAUUGAACCAGCAAAGCCAGACAUCGUUCUCCCCACAACCUUUAAUAGAUGCAUGAAAGGCUGGAUUCUUGUUCAUGAAGAACUCUGACUUAUCAUGAGGGAGAUUUGGGUGUGCUUGCUGAACAUUUUAAAUGAGCUCUUAAAGGAUGCUUUUGUUUAAUGUAAAAAUAUGACUCUUGUACAAAGAGAAGAUCUACCUUACGAAAAAUUUAUUUAAAUUAAUGAGGGAACCAAUAGGACGCUGCAAUAGGGUCAAAGGAGAAUCUAGAGCAGAUACAUCCAUAGGCAAUUAGGAAUGUUCAGAGGAUGCAAAUUCAAAGACAAAAAAAGAUGUGAAGCCCAAGAAGAUCAGAUAACCAGAAGGGGGCACUAUCCAACACCUAGUAUUCCAUUGAAGGGAUGCUCUAAUUAUUUUUCCCCCAUUUCAAAGUAGUUCUCAAUUUUUCCUGACAAGGUCUAGAAUUUCUGCCUUGGCAAGGCUCCUGCUAUCCUUGUUGGUGCCUGUCAAAGCCUUCUUUCCGCAGGCAUUUGCCUGAUUUCUAUGUCAAAAUGGCCAAUCCAGAUGUGGAAAGAGCUGUCACUCACCUUGGUAGAAUUAACCAGCACCCCAAACACUCCACAGUCCAGCCAUGCUAUCCAAAAAUGGAAGAAUCCAUUCCCUUUACUUCAUGUAUAUUUUCCUAAGUCAGUCCCCAAGAAAGGAUGCCUUUGUCCUCUAAUGGUACAUUGUGGUCUUCAUGACAUAACUCACCAUCUUUGUUUUUAGCCCUGUCCUCCUAACAUCCAGGUGUCACCCUAAGGGAACUAGAUCAGAGUGCCUGCCAUUAGCUAUAUCCAAAAUCAGCACUCCAUUUCAGCUGGAAGACUCUGACCCUGGCUGGCACAGCUCAAUGAAUUCCCUGUUCCUUUCCCUCUGCUCCUACCAACAAGUCCUUUUCCAAAUGCACAACGGUCUCCCCUGCAAAUCAAUUAUUGGCAAGGAUGGUCCACCAUUCCUUAGGAGUCAAUUGAAGCUGAAGGUCAGAACAGUUUCGCCCCAAGCCUUUCUGCUUAGAAGCAUCUUCCUGAAGAGAUGGUGCCAAUGCUGUGUCAAGCUCAGCCUUUGACCUCAAGAAGACCAAGAUUUUAAUCCUAGAUUUCUUAUUAUCUAUAAAGUCAGAUUAAUAACAUUACCUUUCACGGUUGUUUUGAGGAUGAAAAUGAAAUAGUAUGUAAAAUACUUGGUAAAGGUAGUUGUUAAUUUUUCAUUAUCAUGUUGAUCACUCUAGGGGCUAGUAGCUACCUUGACUUUGCUCCCAUCAAUAUCACUUGUCAGUUGCAUUCUGCAUCUCAUCUCCAUAAAUGGUCUCACAUCUCACCUCCCAGGUGGUUCGUGUAUUAUGUUUCCUAUCUCCCCUUGUUCUAGGCUUAAUAUCUCCCAGUCACUUGCUGCUUAAUAUUUACACUCAGUCCUGAUGAUCAGCCUGCUCUCCCACAUGCCUGCACUGACACUAGCCCUCAGCAGUUAUGCGCCCAUAAAAAGAAAGCUUGCCCCAUCCCUUUUACCCCAGACCCCUUGCAUUCAGUCCCUGAGCCAUUAAAAUUGCCUUGGUUUUGAAUGGAAGUUUGUCAAAAUCCUCAUAAAGAGCUCAUAUGCAAUUCCAUUAUCAAGAGGCUUGCCUAGAAAGGACAAUGGUAAUGAAAAAUAUUGACUAGAGUAGCAAAGCUCAAUUUUUUAGCAGUCAAAAUUAUACCUUUUCAUUAAAUUGGGGCCCCAGAGAAAAAAUAAAGAUAAUUAAACAGAUUUAUGAUGAAAAAUUAUAGAUAAUAUCUUCCUGUUUAAAGUAACCAGAAGUACAGACACUCAGAAAAAGAAAUGCAAUGUGUACAAAUCUGGGGGAGCUGCUUCCAUGGGACAUUUAAGUUGUCAUCGCUUCCCACAAAAGCUU
rnacentral:lncRNA from 1 species